rnacentral:lncRNA from 1 species
GUCUCGCUGCGACCUGAGCUGCUGAAUCAGCUUUCUGUUUACUGUGGGCAAUGGCUGUGUUUUCUUUUUGAUGUCCUUUGCAGUGGAUCACAGCUACCUGCUGAGACAGACAAGGGGAGUGGUUCCUGUGAUGGGAUCAGUCAGAUGCCUGCCUGGCCGCUCCCCCUGAGGGGACUUGGGCUCCUCUUAGCAUUGGCAGGCCGGUAUAAACUUCCGGCUCAGAUCGAGCUAUGCCUGAUGCUGCCUUAAGCCUUAUGAGGUCGCCAAGGAACCGCAGAAACUCCUGGAGGGCAGAGCUGUGUCUGCCAUCUUCAUCAUUGCAUUACCACCACCCAGCACAGUGCCUGGCACAAAAGAGUUGCUCAAUAAAUAAAUCCGGAUGAAUGGAUAAAUACAUGGAUAGGCACUUUGAACUACAGAUGAGUUUAAAUACUUUGUGUUUUUCUUAGUCAAACAUGUGCAAUUAAGCAUGUGAUAAAUGAUAUGAUGACCA